rnacentral:rRNA from 1 species
UACGAAGGGGACUAGCGUUGUUCGGAAUCACUGGGCGUAAAGCGCACGUAGGCGGAUUUGUAAGUCAGGGGUGAAAUCCCGGGGCUCAACCUCGGAACUGCCUUUGAUACUGAAGAUCUUGAGUUCGGGAGAGGUGAGUGGAACUGCGAGUGUAGAGGUGAAAUUCGUAGAUAUUCGCAAGAACACCAGUGGCGAAGGCGGCUCACUGGCCCGAUACUGACGCUGAGGCACGAAAGCGUGGGGAGCAAACAGG